GAAAGGACAUAAUGUUUUUGGAGCUGGGAAACCAGAGUUUAGAUCUGGCUUCUCUAGGUUUCAGACCAGAUGACUUGAUAGACACUUGCUAUGAAUAUGGAUGAGAAUGGAGAAAGCACCUUCGUGGAGCUCCGGCCUCACUGCUCAGAGCUCUAUGUGCUGCCAGUGGCUCAUUCGUAGGAAGUUGGCUAAUUGGGACAGCAGCAGCCAGCCCUGGUGAAGGACAGAGUCGGAAUUAUGUGCCCAACUCCGAGAGGAGAGGCUCACAUCUGCUCAAUUCCUCCUUGAAUAAUCACCAAUAUUAAUUACUCAUAUUUCUUCCCUCCCCCUAUCCAGUGAGUUGGAGGGAAAGGAGAGGAAGGUAUUGAUGAAGAGAAAGAGAGCUACUGUGGCAUCUAAAAGCCCCAUAUGAUGGAAGAGGCUGGCCAAAAUCAGCUCAUAAAAAUAGGAAACCUGCUCUCAGGAACACAUCAGGAUUGAUUUUCUAUUCUCAGGACUGAAAAAUGAAUUUGUAUUUUAAAAUCCUUUAUGUAAUAUGUCUGUGAGCUGAGAAAGGUAUUUUUAUUAUCAUCAUCAUCAUCAUCAUCAUCAUUAUUAUUAUUGAACUAGAUGUGACUUUUUGUGGCAGAGAAAAUUACUGGCUGCCACCAAGUUUUCUUUUUCUCUCUGUCACCAGAAGUGAGAACCUCAGUCUUGGGUUUGUGUAAAUAAAAGAUGAUAAUUGGAACAGUGGGUGAUAACACUUUGCAUUUUAUAGGAAAACUCCUCUCUGAAGGGCCCCCAAAUGCUCGACAAUACCAUCUUAGUUCUGCCUGUAAUUGUUAAAACGCAUUUGCCUGAGAUCUGGUUACCUGGGAGACAGUGACAAUUUUGCUGCUAAUUUUCUGUGUGACCUUCAACCAAGUUAUUUCCUCUCUUGGUGAGUCUCACCAUCUGUAAAAUCAGAGUUGGAAUCGACCUUUCCAGAUCUAGCAUUCUCUCUUAACCUGUAAAGUCUAUGAACUUUCUAAAAAAAUAUUUUGAUAGUGGAUUUCAAUAUAUUUGGUUUCCUUUGUAAGCCUAUAUAUUUAUUGUAUACAUUUCAAAACAUUAUUCUGAGAAGGGGGUCCACCAGACUUGGCACAGGGUCCAUAACAAAAGUUAAGCACCUUUAUUCUAAGGGCACUUCUAAUACUAACAUUAUAGGAAUUUUUUUUCUAGACCUAACAUUCCAUGUUCAAAGUUCCCUUCCAACAACUCUAAAAGUUUAUGUUCUAAUUUCCUUACAAAUCUGAUGUUCUAUGUUCUAAGUUCUCCUCCAACUCUAACAUCCUCUAUUCUGGAAGGAUCUAAACUCUAUGUUGAAAGAUCCCUUCCAUCUAUGACAUUCUAUGUUCUAAUCCCUUUCCAGACCUGAUGUUCUGUUUUAAGCUCCCUCCCAGCUCUAACAUCCUAUAUUCUAAAUUUUUUUUCUAAAUCUUACAUUCUAUAUUGAAAGAUCCCUUCUAUCUCUGACAUUCUAUGUUCUAAUUCCAUUCUAGAUAUCCUAUAUUCUAAGUUAGAAUUCAACUCUAAUAUUCUCUAUUUUAAGGUCCCAUAUGUUCAAAGAUCUCUUCCAACUUUGCCAUUCUGUGUUUUACAUCUCUGCCAAAUCUCUAUCAUUCAGGGUUCUAAGGAGCCUUUCAAUAAAUAGUAUUUAUAUAGAACUUUUAAGUUUGCAAAGCAGUUUACAAAUAUUAUUUCAUUUGAUCCUCACAACAAUCCAGGAAGAUAAGUGGUACUGUGAUCCUCAUUUUAUGGAUAAGAAAAACAAGGUUGGCAGAGUUUGUAAGGGACUUGCUCAGGGCCACACAGCUUGUAAAGGUCUGAGCCUAUAUUGGAAGACAAGUUUUCCCAACUCUAGAUAUAGUGCCAACUAAUUCUAGGUCUACUAUUCUAUGUUUGAUUUUCUAGGUCCUCUCCAUCCCUAGAAUUCUCUGACUUUGUGAAGGUAGGAGAACUAGAUGGCUUAAUGGAUAGAGCACAAGGUCUAGAAUCAGGAAAACUUGAGUUCACAUAAGACUUCAGACACAAGUUGUGUGACCCUGGACAAGUCACUUAGCCCUUUUUACCUCAGUUUCCUCACCUGCAAAAUGACCUGGAGAAGGAAUAUCAAACUACCCCUGUAUCUUUGCCAAGAGAACCCCAAAUGGGGUCCAUGAAGAAUUGGACACAAUUGAACAACAACAAAAUGGUCAUAGAAUAUCAGAUUGAGAUUAAGGCAAGUGCAACUAUUUAUAUAAACUCACAUCCAGGAAAACCAUAGUUCAUGUUCUACCAGGCUUAACUUGCAUGUUCUCUCUGCAAUAAAUAUCAUGGUUUUUCAAACUAUGGCUCUUCUAUCUCAAGAUGAUUGUACCCCUUUUCUUCCCUUUCUAAUCUUCUCUUCUGCCAGCAUCCCUCCCUAGAAUAAACAAUGAGGACUGGUAAAGCUCUGAUUUUUCUUAUGCAGCAAGAUAACUGUAUAAAAAUAUAUACAUAUAUUGGAUUUAACAUAUACUUUAAUAUAUUUAACAUGUAUUAGAUUACCUGCCAUCUAGGGGAGGGGAUGGGGGGAAGGAGGGGAAAAAUUGGAACAGAAGGUUUUGCAAGGAUCAAUGUUCAAAAAUUACCCAUGCAUAUGUUUUGUAAAUAAAAAGCUAUUAAAAAAAAGAAAUGAAAUGAUGAUCAGGAUGCUCUCAGAAAAACCUGGAAAGACUUUCAUGAACUCAUGCAAAUUUAAAUGUAGUGUGUAAAAAGUAACAAAGAUAUUGUAAGAUGAUCAGAUAUGAAUGAUUUAGCCAUUCUCAACAAUGAUCCAAGACAUCUCAGAGGAAAUUAUGAUGAAAAAUUCUAUAUAUACCCAGAGAAAGAACCUGACGCUGUCUAAAUGCAGAGGGAAGUAUACUUUUUUAACUUUCUAUAUUUUUCUUGAAGGUUUUUUUGGGCUAUGUUUACUUUCACAAGAUUAUUAUAGCAAUGUUUUGCAUGACUACACAUGUAUAACCUAUAUCGAAUUGCUUGCCUUCAGGGGUGGGGAGAAGAUAGAGAGGAAAAAGGAAAGGAGAGAAUCUGGAAUUCAAAGUUUUAAAAACAAAUAUUAAAAAUUGCUUUUAUAUGUAACUGGGAAUUCAAAGUUUUAAAAACAAAUAUUAAAAAUUGCUUUUAUAUGAGUUUACAGAAAUGAGGACACACAGAAUGAGGAGACCUGGAGAGGAUAUUAUUUAUAUGUAACUAAAUAAAAAGAAAAAAAGAAAAAGAAAAAAGAAAAACAAGUCCCCUCCCCCCCCAAAAAAGAGAAAUGAAAUAGUGAUGCUUCAAAAUUACCAACUUUAAUGCCAGGAACUUGCCAUCAUCCCUACCACCACCACCCAUUGCCUCUGCCCAUUGGUAAUCCUGGAUGGACCAUAUUUCCAGAAUCCCUACUCUAAGGCAGGGAUUUAAACUUUGUCACAAUUCACAGAUAAUUCUGCUGAUACUUUUUCUCCACCCUACCCCUGCUCCCUCGCUGUGACCCCCCAAUACCCACCCACUCUAACUAGAAAUGUCCUCCUUCCUCCUCAUCCAGUGAUUCAAAUACUACCUGUAUGGCAAAGCUUUACUUAAGUUCUGCUGCUUUUGAGAAGACUUCUGUGAUCAUGAUGAUGAUUUCUCCCCCAUUUGAAUUUUGCAGCAAAAUGUGUACCUCUCAUUAGGCAAUUUCUCACAGGCUGCCUUUGAUAGCAUAUUUAUUUAACUGUACAGUCUUGGACUAUGAUUUAACUCUUAUGCUUCCUUUUCUGUUUGAUUCGAUUAAGUACCUAUGUCUUCAAAGCAUUGUAGUCUACCCUAGAGAUACCAAAAAAGAAAAAUAACACAAUCUCUGCCCUCAAAGAGCUUAUAUUCUACAAAAGAAGUUUCUUUUAAAAAUGUAUUUAUGUCCUUUCUUUUUGUCACUGUAACCAGAAUUAGCUCCUUGAGAUUCACUGUGUCCUAGAUUCAUGAUUAACAAUUCUCUGCAAAAUAAUAUUUCAAAAGACAUAAAUGCUCAGGAAAAGGAGCAAAGAAUAAAAACUAGAAAGGACCUCAGAGGUUAUCUGGUUGCCUAAUUGUCAUUUUACAGGUGAGAAAAUUGAGGCUCAACGAGGUUAAAUGUCUAGUCCAAAAUCACAAAGGUUGUAGGUAAUUAAGAUAAGAGUUUAACUCUUUGAUUCCAAAGUCACUGCUUUUUCCAUGUUUUUCAUCAGGAAAAGAGAGACACACUAAGUGUUAUUCUGUAUUCCACAAAAUGUAAAGGAACCCAGAGAAGUCCUUUUGCUUAAUGGGUGGACUGUCUGUAAAGAGUUUACAGAAAUGAGGACACACAGAAUGAGGAGACCUGGAAAGGAUAAAAACUAUAAUCCUAGAGCAAAAAGCCAGCUGGAUGAAAUCAUAGCUCCACUAAUAUUUUAAUGUUAAUAUUGAUAAUACCUUCCUCCAACAUAGGGCAUUUUUCUGGACACACACACAAACCAAGAAUACUCUUCUUCUUCCUCUCUGCCUUCUGACUUCUCUUACUUCCUUCAAGUAUCAGCUAAAAGCAUAUAUUCUCCAGCAAUAGUGUCCAAUUCAGAUGGUAAAGGGACAAGUGGGGGAAGCAAGGUGGUACAGUGGAUAGAGCACCAGCCCUAGAGUCAGGAGGUCUGAGGAUCCACUCUGAUCUCAGAUAUUUAUCAGCUGUGUGACCCAGGGCAAAUCAAUUAUUGCCCUAAUUGCCUUCAUGAGGAAAGAGGGAUGCAAUGGACACUAAAUCUUACAUAAGGACACCUGCAGCCACAUAUUGGCUUAGAAAAUUAUAUAUUAAUAUUAUCUAUGUUUUAUCAUAUUUUUACUUCUUUUCUUCAAUUUUUACCAAUUACAGUUUAAUCUGGUGUCAAUUGUGUUCAGAAAUGUUGUAGCCACAUGCACAAUGUCUGACACGUCUGUUCUACAGGAAGCCUUUCCUAAUCUAAUUCUUCCUAAUUUCAGUGCCUUCCCUCUCUUAUUUCCUCUUUAUCCUGCAGAUAGCAUGUUUGUACAUAUUUGUUUAUGUUUUCCUCAUUAGACUAUGGGCUCCUUGAGAGCAGGAACUGUUUUUUUCUUUCUUUUAAUCCCCAGGGCCUAACAGCACCUCACACACAACAGGCAUUUGAUAAGUGCUUAUUGACUGAAUUCAAAUACAAACUUUUUAAAGUAUAAAAAUCAUGAAAGAUCUCAAGCCCAUUCUCUCUCCUCAUUUUAUAUGAGGAAACUGAAGGCUUGAGACAGGAAGUCAUUUGCUCAAGAUCACAAAGCUGGUAAGCAACAGAUAGAAAUUGAACCCAGAUCCUUUAACUCCAAGUUUAGUAGUCUCUCCCCUAUAAUACGCUGCAUCUCAUCUAUUUUAAUUAACAGUUUACAAUGAUCUUUAACACACCUCAUUUUUUCUGAUUCUCAGGACAAUACUGAAAGGUUAGAUGGACAAGGACUAUUAAACCCCAUUUUACAGAUGAGGAAACUGAGACCCAGAGAUGCAAAGUGAUUUUUUUCAGUCAUUUACUACUAUAAAUGACCCAGCAGAAAUGAGGCUUAUUUGGUAACUCUGACUCCAUACCCCAUAGCUGGUUUUUUUUUGCAGGAGAAAGAAAAGCUAGCUAAAUAGGAGCUAGUUAGGAGCUAACUCCUAAACAGGAGAGGACAGCUGAACGAUUGGUUGUUGAAGCAGGAGUUGACAGGGACCCCAGAGGCCAUCAAUCUUAUUUGGCAGAUGCAAAAUCUGAGACCCUGGGAAAUGAUUUACUCAAAGGUCACACAGCAAAUACGGGAAAUAUAUGUCUCAUCCCUUACUGGUCUCAUAGACAUACAAUCUCAUCGUUUACCUCGUAAGUGCUAAGGCCUCCCAUCCCCUAAUAUCCCCUCCACCUCUUAGGGCCCUACCUCAUAGCCCUUUCCCUCUGACCUGGAUCAGAACUUAGUUCUGGUGAUAAGAACCUGAUUUUAGAGGCAUGAGGCUGAAAAUGGUGGCUAAUUGAAACUGAGGUUUACUCCACCCCCAGAAGGCACCAGUCACCCUAUAAAACCAGCAUUAUUAAAUGUUGCUCAAAUUACCUUUUAUAGGGCUCCAGGCUAUAAAAGGGAAUUACAAUGCUUUCAUUUAUGGGAAGGCUAAGGUGCCUGCAGAAAUGCCCUCCUUAGUUCUUAAGCAAUUAGUUUUACUGGUGGCAGGAUUAAUAGAUUGCAAAUGAUGUGCCAGCCCAACGUGAUCUAAGAGGUGGCUGACCCAUUCCUGCCACUCAAGGCUCUCGCCAAGGUGCUUGGCUAUAAUGAUUUUUCUAAUGUUUCUAAUUUCCUUUUGUAGAGAAUGAGAAAGCUGAGACUGGAGCUGUUCUUUCUUACAAGUCUUCGGCUGAAAGGGACUCAAUAGCAUUCAGUGUCUUCUUCCACAUACAACAAGGGAUGCCAUGAUGGGUGAAAAUCUAUUUAUUAAAGGGAACCUAUCCCAAAAGCCAUUAACACAGAUACAAGCACUACAUAUAGAUUUCAUCAGAUGGCUGCUUCCCAGGAAUGAUAAAUCAUGAAGCCUUGACCUAGAAUCCUACAAUGUUAGAAGUAGGAAAAAUUUUCAGAAUAUAGGACGUGGGAUAUAGAAUGUCUCAACUAAAAAAAAAAAACUAAAGCUAUAGAACAUAAAAUGUCAACUCUGAUAGGGAUCUUAGAUAUUUUAGAGCUGGGAGGGCAGUUGGAAUCUAAUGUAUAGAAUUCAGAGUUGGAAAUUACUUUAGAACAUAGAAAAUCAUAGCUGAAAGGGAACAUAGGAUAAAGAACAUAUGAUCUAUAUCUGAAAUUUCAGAUCUGGAAAGAACUUUAAAACAGAGAACACAGAAUGUCAGAGUUGAAAGGACCUUAGACUACAGAAUGUUAGAUCUGGAAGGGAAAUUUAGGAACAUAAAGUGUAGAAUGUUAGUGAUGAAAGGGACCUUUGAGAACAUCUAAUGUGCCCUUUUUGGGGGGAGAAAAAGAAACAGAUUUCAGAAGAGUGAGUGGCAAAGCCAUAGAGAAAAGUGAUGGUGGACUCUAGACUGAAAGUCUUUUUGUUGCCACUUCAAAUGUGCUAUCCUAAGGAGCUACCCAGCUAACACUAACUUAGAGGAUGUUGGAUGGGAUUGGAUAGCAGCAGGCUUACUCUUCCACCCCCAGACUUGGAAACAUGAAUGUACUCACAAAUACCAAAUACUGCAAAAUAUCACAGAUUUUUCUUUUAAAUUUGAGCUCUCUGCACAUCUCUCUCUUUCUAAAUAUUCUAUCUGACUCUUGACCACUGCUUGUCUUGAACUUUUGAAUGCUAUGAUCCUCUGGUUAUGGGCGUAUGCUUCUAAUCUAACCCAUCCUUUCUGCCUCAGGUAAGAAACUCCCAGACCCAGGCAAUAACAUGUCCACCAAGGAACAGGACCAGGAGAAACAAUGCAAGACCUACUGCUCCUGUCUCCUAGCCUGCCCAUUGUUUUUUUUUUUUUUUUUUUUUUUUUUUUUUUUUUUUUUUUUU
rnacentral:lncRNA from 1 species